GAUGAACGCUGGCGGUGUGCCUAAUACAUGCAAGUCGAGCGAACAGACGAGGAGCUUGCGCCUUUGACGGUAGCGGCUGACGGGUGAGUAACACGUGGAUAACCUACCUAUAAGACUGGGAGAACUUCGGGAAACCGGUGCCGAUACCGGCUCAUAUAUUGAACCGCAUGGUUCAAUAGUGAAAGACGGUUUUGCUGUCCCUUAUAUAUGGAUCCGGGUCACAUUAUUUAGUUGGUAAGGGAUCCGCGUACCAAGGCAACGAUGCGUAGCCGACCUGAUAGGGUGAUCGGCCACACUGGAACUGAGACACGGUCCAGACUCCUACGGGAGGCAGCAGUAGGGAAUCUUGCGCAAUGGGCGAAAGCCUGACGCAGCAAUGCCGCGUGAGUGAAGAAGGUCUUCGGAUCGUAAAACUCUGUUAUUAGGGAAGACCAAAAGUGUACGUAAAUAUGCAUGUAUUGACGGUACCUAAUGAGUAAGCCACGGCUAACUUCGUG
rnacentral:rRNA from 1 species